UACGUAGGGGGGCGAGCGUUGUCCGGAGUUACUGGGCGUAAAGGGCACGCAGGCGGUGCGGCGCGUUUCGCGUGACAGCGGAGGGCUUAACUCUCCGAGGAUGCGAAAGACGGCGGCACUUUGAGGGCCAGAGAGGGACACGGAAUUCCGGGUGGAGUGGUGAAAUGCGUAGAUAUCUGGAGGAACACCGGUGGCGAAGGCGGCAUCCUGGACCGGUAUUGACGCUGAGGAGCGAAAGCCAGGGGAGCAACGGG
rnacentral:rRNA from 1 species